CCAGGCUAAGACCAUCUCUUCCCUCACCAAGGCACGUGGGUUCCCUGACAGGGUGAAAGAAAGAUAUAGGCUAAAUAGGUUAGUGAUGCAGGAGUAGCCUCCACAAAUCUUCCUCUAGCAACAGAAUCAGCACUGACCAAGUCAGCAUACAGGAUCCUGUUGGGGAAGCCCUUUCUGCAGAUCCUGAUGCCUUCCAGCACACCGUUACAGCGCAGCUGGUGCAUGACCAGAGGAUUCUCCAUGGCCCCAGGAGUCUUGGUCUCAUUGGGGAUGAUGCAACGUACAAAAUGGGGGUCCAGCCUCUUGCAUUGGGAGACCUUCUGUCAAGGACAGCAAGCAUGACCACACACAAGAGCGAUGCUGAUUCCUUUUGCUUUUAAGUUCCUUCUUCCCUCAACAUCUGCACAUCAGCCCCAACCAGGAGGCUCCAACC